AUGAGAGAUAGUCAACCAUGUUAUAUGAGUGUUGUUUUACUAAGAACAAGUGUUGUGUGGUUAUAUAUCAGUGUAGAACAUACUGCCAGGUUAAUGAAGUUAGUCUAAUGUCUAUACUAACCUCCAUAACCUGUGAAUACAUGAGAUAGUAAACCAUGUUAUAUGAGUGUUGUUUUACUGAGAACAAGUGUUUUAUGGUUAUUAAUUAGUGUAGAACCUACUGUCAGGUUACUGAAGUUAGUCUAAUGUCCAUAUUAACCUUCAUAACCUGUUUAUACAUGAGAGAUAGUAAACCAUAUUAUAUGGGUGUUGUUUUACUGAGAACAAGUGUUGUAUGGGUAUAUAUCAGUGUAGAACCUACUGCCAGGUUACUGAAGUUAAUAUAAUGUAUAUACUAACGGCCAUAACCUGUAUAUACGUGAGGGAUAGUCAACCAUGUAAAAUUAGUUUUGUUUUACUGAGAACAAGUGUUGUAUGGUUAUAUAUCAGUGUACAUUCUACUGCCAGGUUACUGAAGUUAGUCUUAUGUCUAUACUAACCUCCAUAACCUGUGUAUACAUGAGAGAUAGUCAACUAUGUUAUAUGAGUGUUGUUUUACUGAGAACAAAUGUUGUACAGUUAUAUAUCAGUGUAGAACCUACUGCCAGGUUACUGAAGUUAGUCUUAUGUCUAUACUAACCUCCAUAACCUGUUUAUACAUAAGAGAUAGUCAACCAUGUUAUAUGAGUGUUGUUUUACUUAGAACAAGUGUUGUGUGGGUAUAUAUCAGUGUAGAACAUACUGCCAGGUUACUGAAGUUAGUCUUGUGUCUGUACUAACCCCCAUAACCUGUUUAUACAUGAGAGAUAGUCAACCAUGUUAUAUGAGUGUUGUUUUACUAAGAACAAGUGUUCUGUGGUUAUAUAUCAGUGUAGAACAUACUGCCAGGUUACUGAAGUUAGUCUAAUGUCUAUACUAACCUCCAUAACCUGUGUAUACAUGAGAGAUAGUCAACCAUGUUAUAUGAGUGCUGUUUUACUGAGAACAAAAGUUGUACAGUUAUAUAUCAGUGAAGAACCUACUGCCAGGUUACUGAAGUUAGUCUUAUGUCUAUACUAACCUCCAUAACCUGUGUAUGCAUGAGAGAUGGUCAACCAUGUUAUAUGAGUGUUGUUUUACUUAGAACAAGUGUUGUGUGGUUAUAUAUCAGUGUAGAACAUACUGCCAGGUUACUGAAGUUAGUCUAAUGUCUAUACUAACCUCCAUAACCUGUGUAUACAUGAGAGAUAGUCAACCAUGUUAUAUGAGUGUUGUUUUACUGAGAACAAAUGUUGUACAGAUAUAUAUCAGUGUAGAACCUACUGCCAGGUUAUUGAAGUUAGUCUUAUGUCUAUACUAACCUCCAUAACCUGUUUAUACAUAAGAGAUAGUCAACCAUGUUAUAUGAGUGUUGUUUUACUUAGAACAAGUGUUGUGUGGGUAUAUAUGAGUGUAGAACCUACUGCCAGGUUACUGAAGUUAGUCUAAUGUCUAUACUAACCUCCAUAACCUGUGUAUACAUGAGAGAUAGUCAACCAUGUUAUAUGAGUGUUGUUUUACUGAGAACAAGUGUUGUACAGUUAUAUAUCAGUGAAGAACCUACUGCCAGGUUACUGAAGUUAGUCUAAUGUCUAUACUAACCUCCAUAACCUGUUUAUACAUGAGAGAUAGUCAACCAUGUUGUAUGAGUUUUGUUUUACUGAGAACAAGUGUUUUGUGGUUAUAUAUGAGUGUAGAACCUACUGCCAGGUUACUGAAGUUAGUCUAAUGUCUAUACUAACCUCCAUAACCUGUGUAUGCAUGAGA